GAGAGAGUAAAGAAGAGAGAGAAAGAAGAAGAAAUUAAAAAGAUGAAGAAGAAGAAGAAAGAAGAAGGGGAAUCGACCGUAGAGCGUCACCGAAGCUAGGGUCUUAGUAUUUUAAGCCCGAAUUAAUGAUUAUCUCAUCAGGAUCUUUGAUUUGAGGUGAUUUUGCAGGUUAUCCACCUGGAGAUCAGGAGUCGAGCCCCACUGUGGAGUUUUCCUCUAAGGACUAGUGGGUUCCUAAUGAGUUCGAGCAUGGUGCCAAUUGCAUAUUCGAGGAUUGUGCUGCAUGGCAGCAGUGAUUCCUAAGUGAUUUUACAGAUUACCCACCUGGAGAUCAGGAGUCGGGCCCCACUAUGGAGUUUUCCUUUGAGGGAUGGUGGGGCCCUGAUGAGUUAGAGCACAGUGUCGAUUGCACGUUCAAGGAUUGUACUGUAUUGCACCAGUGACUCCUGAGUGAUUCUUUUUUAUGUACUCCCUUUUUAUUACUUGAUGCAUAAAUUGUUAUAUUUUUUGUAUAUAUCAUGCCUUCAGACCCAAAUGUAUAUAACUUUUAUAAUUCAAUUUGGGUAUCAAGUAUUUGGGAAACAAUUACAGGUGAUAUUAUGAACAGGUCUUCCACGCUAAAAACACAGGUCAGAUCUUAGUUUAGUAGGUAUAUGUUGUAUUGCAGUUACUGCAUUAUUGAUCCUAGCAGGUUGUGAGUUAACUAGAGUUAACUCGGUCACCGGCUCUGUUCUAUGCGGGCAGGG